UGCGCUCUGAGGUUGGGAGUGGCUGAGGAAGGAGGAGGAGUGCCGCCCUCCCCAAGCCCCUUCACCUUUCACUGUCUCCUCCAUCAAGGCUUGCAACAUUCUACGGUAUGAUGUCUUUCUCCACAUCACCAUGACAGUUCUAAAAAGGUGUCCAUCUCCCUGGCGUAGCGCUCGAUCUGGAUGGUGGAGCUGUGCACGCGGUAGUUUUUCAACACCAGCCGCUGCGCCUCGUCCAGCACCGUCUCGGCGUCGAAGCUCUGGUCUGCCGAGGAAACGAAGCUCUACCGUGGACUUGCUUCACUCACACCGCGCCGCAUGUCUGGGUGGCCGCAAAGCCAAGCACCGCCCCGUAGCCAGCGCCGCCGCCAGCACCCCCAGCACCGCCCCGCUUGCUGAGAAUCCUCCCGCCCUUCAGUUUCUUGUUCUCCGCCAUGUUCCCUUCGUGGCAGAUCCGCACAAUGGAGCGU